GAUGAACGCUGGCGGCGUGCUUAACACAUGCAAGUCGAACGGAAAGGCCUCUGCUUGCAGGGGUACUCGAGUGGCGAACGGGUGAGUAACACGUGGGUGAUCUGCCCUGCACUUCGGGAUAAGCCUGGGAAACUGGGUCUAAUACCGGAUAGGACAAUGGUUUGGAUGCUGUUGUGGAAAGUUUUUCGGUGUGGGAUGAGCUCGCGGCCUAUCAGCUUGUUGGUGGGGUAAUGGCCUACCAAGGCGUCGACGGGUAGCCGGCCUGAGAGGGUGUACGGCCACAUUGGGACUGAGAUAAGGCCCAGACUCCUACGGGAGGCAGCAGUGGGGAAUAUUGCACAAUGGGCGCAAGCCUGAUGCAGCGACGCCGCGUGGGGGAUGACGGCCUUCGGGUUGUAAACUCCUUUCGCUAGGGACGAAGCGUUUUUGUGACGGUACCUGGAGAAGAAGCACCGGCUAACUACGUG
rnacentral:rRNA from 1 species